rnacentral:RNase_P_RNA from 2 species
UGGGGUAAUCGGAUAGUCGCUCCAUGUGAGAGGAAAGUCCGGGCUUCACAGGGCAGGAUGCUUCCUAACCGGAAGGCUCGCACCAUUGGUGCGGGAGGAAAGUACCACAGAAAACAUACCGCUCCGCACCGCAAGUGCGCGGGUAAGGGUGAAAAGGUGAGGUAAGAGCUCACCGCUCUGAUGGUGACAUCAGAGGCAUGGUAAACCCCAUCCGAAGCAAAACCAAGCAGUUCCGGGCGAAGUGGCCCGCUUUUGUCCGGUGCAUUUGCGCCGGUGGCCGGAACGGGUAGGUUGCGCAGAACCCAGUAGUGAUACUGGGACAAGACAAAUGACUAUCUAUUACAGAACCCGGCUUAUAGAUUACCCCACGUA